rnacentral:lncRNA from 1 species
CUUCCAGAUGUGCCCGUGCACAGUACCAUCCUCACGAGCUGUUGUGGAGGGGCUUAGGAUGAUGUCUCUCCGCGGUAAUGAAGUUGUCACAGUGUAUGAUUUCGAGAAGCUUUGCCCAGCACUUGGGGUGGCUCCUGCCUGCCUCCACCUGUGCCGGUUCCUCUUGGAGGGUGCUCCCCGAGAUAGUUGCGGCCCAGCACUGUGCAGAGAUGUGGCGGACGUCCUAUGCAGUUGGUCGUGCUUUGGGUUUGGGAGUGUCUUUUGCCGACAGGCUGAAGGGGUCCCCAUCGGCGGCCCCCUUGCUGGAGCGCUGGCAGAGUUGAUGCUGAGAGGGAUUGAAACGUCUGGGCUGGCGAACCUGAUC